CUGAGAUCCAGAUUAAACUCAGGUUCCUUUUUUAGUUCUUGGGCUUUUGAAAAUAUUUCUGUGGAGAAAAUGAUCCUACAGUGAAAUGAAUGCGGAAGUGAAAUCAUCUGAUUAGUAAUCCUCCCACAUCUUGAAAUGUGACGGAUAAAACGCAGCGACAAAGACAACGACAACAAUAACAACACACCCAGGAAGUCACUGAUUCCUAAGGUAGGAUAUCGUAUCACUGCGGUUACAUGUUGUUCUUCAUGUGGCGCUGUCCUCCAAGACAAUCUCCAAAAUAUGAUGCAUUGCCUAAAGGACAGUGACAGGUGACCAUUGCACGAUCACGUCAAGUCUGAAACCCUACACAAAGACUGACCUGACACACUGGGACAAAAGCCUGUAUCACUCUCUGGUUCUGCCUGGUCCUCUCUCACAAAUUAAACCCAGAUCUCCUAUAGUUCAGCAGACUGACAGCUCUUUCUAUGUGCCAGCACCCUUCUUCCUCCAAAGGUUCCUCGGGCCAGGAACAUGGGAUUAGUUAAACUGGCGAGUAAGCCGAACAGUCAAACAAGUUCGGCACUUGGCAACUUCUCUGCAGCCUUUUUGACACCACAAGGCUCGGACUUGGCAGCAGCGAGCAAACUUAGCAAUUAAGUCAACUCUGUAACGGUUGACUAUGACGCAAGACCUGGGCCUGAAUGAAUCACGGGGAAUGAUUCAGAGAUCUCACACAGAGGCGGAAAACGAGCCAACAGAGAAACAAAGACUUUCCUCUCGAGUGUUGAUGUACGUCUCGAGGUUUUCAUUCACAGAACACACUUGAGUGAUGAAGGGUGUGAUCGGUGCAGGUAUAUAAUACUGAAGGUGGCUGGUUCAGGUUUGGUGAGUUCUCAAAGAUGUUUGAGUAAAAGAUUAAUGAUCCAAAGUAAACGACUCGGACGGGUUUGAAAUCACAACCAGCUAUAAGCUGACAGUUUCAGUCUGUAAGAGGAAACGUUUCACUGCAAAGUCAUUAUCCGUGAUAGCGGUAAGCUAAAAAAUAUCAUUCAGU